UACGUAGGGUGCGAGCGUUAAUCGGAAUUACUGGGCGUAAAGCGUGCGCAGGCGGCUUUGCAAGACAGGCGUGAAAUCCCCGGGCUUAACCUGGGAAUGGCGCUUGUGACUGCAGUGCUGGAGUGCGGCAGAGGGGGAUGGAAUUCCGCGUGUAGCAGUGAAAUGCGUAGAUAUGCGGAGGAACACCAAUGGCGAAGGCAAUCCCCUGGGCCUGUACUGACGCUCAUGCACGAAAGCGUGGGGAGCAAACAGG
rnacentral:rRNA from 1 species